UGAAUUACAAUUCACUUUUCUAAGUCUGC
rnacentral:piRNA from 1 species